rnacentral:lncRNA from 1 species
GCUCCCGAUAAACUGUCUCUUCCUACCUACUUAUUCCUUUGCCUUUCCCAUAGCUCUCCACGUCAAUCAUAAUCAUAACGAGUCAUAAGAAGGAUUGUACUUUCGAUGAUGAAUCAACGACACUAACUUACACUCAUAUUCAUAUUGCUCCCCAAAACCUCCAAAUGUCAAAUCUCCUUGCUCGCAGUCUUUGAUUCUCGAUCUGAAACAUAAAGCUACCAGAAUCAUCACCAAUCAUCCCGAAUUCAAGAAAAUAGAAAUCUGCAAAGCCCUAAUCCGCACGAAGAACCAUGAUUACGCUACAACAAUCAUAACCUAAAAAUGCAUUCCACUCACUGCAGGUUCCAGAUUAGAAAAAAACUCGCAAAUAAACUGAAAAAUCGAAAUAAAAGGACGGGUGCGUUAUACCUGCGCGACUCGAGCAAGAAACCAAGCAAGCCUUUCAAAGCGAGCAAAGGCAUCAUAGUCGAGGGAAGAGAUCUCCUUGUGGGAGUAACGAUCUGACAUCGAUCUAUAAUUCCGGUGUGUGUGUGUGUGAGAGAGAGAGAGAGAGAGAGAGAGUGGAGAAACAAAU